rnacentral:snRNA from 1 species
GCACAUUCUCGGCCUUCAGGCUAAGAUCAAGUGUAGUAUCAAUUCUUCUCAGCCUGAUCUCUGAGAUUAUUUGUUCAUAAACAGUUGAUUAUGAUGAUUUUUUUAAUCAAAAUUCACUGUGAUCUACAAUACAAAAGGGAUUGCUCUUUUGUAGAUUUACAACUCAAAUAAAUUUCAAUUUGUUUGGAUUAGUUGAAGAGGUG